rnacentral:rRNA from 1 species
UACGUAGGGCGCAAGCGUUGUCCGGAAUUAUUGGGCGUAAAGAGCUCGUAGGCGGCUUGUCACGUCGGUUGUGAAAGCCCGGGGCUUAACCCCGGGUCUGCAGUCGAUACGGGCAGGCUAGAGUGUGGUAGGGGAGAUCGGAAUUCCUGGUGUAGCGGUGAAAUGCGUAGAUAUCUGGAGGAACACCGGUGGCGAAGGCGGCAUCCUGGACCGGCACUGACACUGAGGAGCGAAAGCCAGGGGAGCAAACGGG